rnacentral:rRNA from 1 species
GAUGAACGCUGGCGGCGUGCUUAACACAUGCAAGUCGAACGGAAAGGCCCUGCUUUUGUGGGGUGCUCGAGUGGCGAACGGGUGAGUAACACGUGAGUAACCUGCCCUUGACUUUGGGAUAACUUCAGGAAAAUGGGGCUAAUACCCGAUAGGAGCUCCUGAUGCAUGGUGGGGGUUGGAAAGUUUCGGCGGUUGGGGAUGGACUCGCGGCUUAUCAGCUGGUUGGUGGGGUAGUGGCUUACCAAGGUUUUGACGGGUAGCCGGCCUGAGCGGUUGACCGGCCACAUGGGGACUGAGAGACGGCCCAGACGCCUACGGGAGGCAGCAGUGGGGAAUAUUGCGCAAUGGGCGGAAGCCUGAUGCAGCAACGCCGCGUGCGUGAUGACGGCUUUCGGGUUGUAAACCGCUUUCGCCUGUGACGAAGCGUGAGUGACGGUAAUGGGUAAAGAAGCACCGGCUAACUACGUG